UACAAUAUUUUGAUCCUUCGUCUUAUUUAAAUUUUUUUACUAUUAAUAUUUUUAUUCUUACUAGAUGAUAAAAUAUAAAUAGUACUUUAUACGUGACUAAUUUUUUUAAUUUUUCAUAUAAAUUUUUCAAAUAAGACGAAUGGUCAAACGCUGCAUACGGAAAAAC
rnacentral:pre_miRNA from 1 species